rnacentral:rRNA from 1 species
CCUACGGGAGGCAGCAGUGAGGAAUAUUGGUCAAUGGACGGAAGUCUGAACCAGCCAUGCCGCGUGCAGGAAGACGGCUCUAUGAGUUGUAAACUGCUUUUGUACAAGGGUAAACCUGUAUACGUGUCUUCUGCUGAAAGUACUGUACGAAUAAGGAUCGGCUAACUCCGUGCCAGCAGCCGCGGUAAUACGGGGGAUACAAGCGUUAUCGGAAUUUAUUGGGUUUAACGGGUGCGUAGGCGGAUUGAUAGUUAGAGGUGAAAUGUCCGGGCUUAACUUGGGAACUGCCUCUAAUAUUGGUGAACUAGAGAGUAGAUGCGGUAGGGGGAAUGUAUGGUGUAGCGGUGAAAUGCUUAGAGAUCAUACAGAACACCGAUUGCGAAGGCAGCUUACCAAUCUAUAUCUGACGUUGAGGCACGAAAGCGUGGGGAGCAAACAGGAUUAGAUACCCCAGUAGUC